rnacentral:lncRNA from 1 species
CCAUACUAAUAAGCUCUGGAGCUCUCUAAUUUUACUGGUCAUACAUAUAUAAUAUCACCUAAUACAUACUUCCGUGUUUGUCAUGUUGUGAAAGAAGAAAUGUAUUUCUUACCAGAGAAAAUUCAUGGAGGAAAGAAAGAAUGGAUCUGAAGAAUUAAUCACGCAGUGUCCUCAAAAUUACAUCAACAUCAAUAAAGAUUUCCUU